UACGAAGGGCGCAAGCGUUAUCCGGAAUUAUUGGGCGUAAAGAGUGAGCAGGCGGCAUAGCAAGUCUGAGGUGAAAGCGUGGGGCUCAACCCCAUACAGCCUUGGAAACUACUAAGCUAGAGUACCUGAGAGGUAAACGGAACUCCAUGUGUAGCGGUAAAAUGCGUUGAUAUAUGGAAGAACACCAGUGGCGAAGGCGGUUUACCAGCAGAGUACUGACGCUCAGUCACGAAAGCGUGGGGAGCAAAUA
rnacentral:rRNA from 1 species